AUGUAUAUGCCUUCGUAGUAAAAUUUUAAUGUUGUGAUUUUGGAUGUUCUCCUUGUCUUCCUCCUUCAUAAGAUGGGUGUGUUUUCAUUCUCCAGCGGUGUGCAAUGCUCCAGAAAAAAAAAAAAUCUUAAGUGGCUAUACACCACAAGUUAUACACUAGAAGCAAAAAGUUCACGUCUAUCUAUCGAAGACGACGAAGCGUUCUUGGCACCCGAGAUAAAUGCCUUCGGGGAUCAGUUCAGGGACUACGAUGCCGAGAAUGAGAGGCAGAAAGGCGUGGAAGCCUUUUAGAAAUCUCAACACAUUAACCAAACUGUCGACUUUGUGAUAGAGACGAGGGCAGAAUUUGGUAAAUUGGAUAAAGAAGUGAUGAGCAUUUGGGAAUGUUGUGAGCUUCUUAAUGAGGUGGUGGACGAGAGUGAUCCAGAUCUCGACGAGCCUCAAAUUCAACAUUUGCUUCAAUCUGCCGAAGCCAUCAGCAAGGAUUACCUUAGCGAAGCUUGGCUUCAUCUAACCGCUCUCAUUCAUGGUGACAUAGAUUCCUUGUUAGGUGUGCAUUUGAUGAAUCUAACGUACAACACGGGUAUUUAACCAAAAAUGGCAUCUACAGUCAAGCAUGUGGACUAAACAAUGAGCAUGAUGUCAUGGGGCCAUGACGACUACAUGUACAUGGAAUUUACACUCAAGGAUGUGGAUUAAACAAUAUAGUUAAGCAAAGUUCAUUUUGACUUGAUCUUCAUCACGUCAACAUGAACUUUGAUUUUACUGUAUAACUUGUAUUUACUGUAAUAACAACAAUAUAUAACAAUUAGAGGUUGUAGAUAUUAUGAUCAAUUACUUAAUCAUGUCUUGAUCCUAAUAACUACGGUCUCUGAAUUGCUGUAUAUUAUUAUUAUUACAGCAAGUACAAGUUAUACCGCAAGAUCAAAGUUCACGUUGAUGUGGAGAAAGUCAAGUCCUACUAGAUGUCUCUGAUAGGUGGUGGUGGAGAAAGUUCACGUUGAUCUAGAAAUAUAUUCCGGAGGUGGUGGUGAAGUGUGGAGAAGAAAAGAAGUGGGGCAUCACUUAGAAGAAUUCAAGAAAUACAGAUAGUACAAUAUCUUAAAUAAAGAGACAUUUGUAUAUGUAUCAUAAGUUAACAUAACUCCAUAAACAAGGAGAACUAGUGUAUCUACAAAGAUUGUAAGUGUAAUCCAUAUAGUAAAAAAAAAAAUUAGCUUCU